rnacentral:rRNA from 1 species
AUUGAACGCUGGCGGCAGGCCUAACACAUGCAAGUCGUACGAGUGGCGGACGGGUGAGUAAUGUCUGGGAAACUGCCUUAUGGAGGGGGAUAACUACUGGAAACGGUAGCUAAUCCCGCAUACCAUCAGAUGUGCCCAGAUGGGAUUAGCUAGUUGGUGGGGUAACGGCGCACAAAGGCGACGAUCCCUCGCUGGUCUGAGAGGAUGACCAGCCACACUGGAACUGAGACACGGUCCAGAAUCCGACGGGAGGCAGCAGUGGGGAAGAUUGCACAUUGGGCGCAAGCCUGAUGAAGCCAUGCCGCGUGUAUGAAGAAGGCCUUCGGGUUGUAAAGUACUUUCAGCGGGGAGGCGUUACCCGCAGAAGAAGCACCGGCUAACUCCGUGCCAGCAGCCGCGGUAAUUC